rnacentral:lncRNA from 1 species
AUAAAUUAACUAACUAAUUAAUUUUCAUUACUCUUUGUUGGAAAUUAGCAGAUGAAAUGAUUGUAACUAAUUCGAUUUAUCCAUCCAUAGACAAACGUUAGGCAUAAACAAUAUGCCAUUUUUAACUCUAUUAAUUUUUAGACUUUUUCUCCAUUUUCCCCUUAUUUUUCUAUUUAUCAAUUAUUGCAUACCCAAAAAUGGUUACAUAUACAUUUAUGGUGGUUAUUACAACAACAUUUUAGACCUUUUAUUUUCUUCAUGAAACGUUUCUAAAAAGUCAUGGUUUAUUCAUUUAUUUUCCUCCAGCUCCUUGCAAGUCUAUUCUUAUUUUACAUUAUGGAUACUUUAAAUAUCAAAUAUUUAUAUUAUAAAUUACCAUCCAUAUAUCAAUUUUCAACAUUCUUGUAAACAUUUGUGCAUUUAUGUCUAUGCACUCCAUGAAGGUAAGCACAUACAUUAUCUAAUCUUCUUUUCUCUUCUCGAUUCAGACUUUUUUUUUUCUUCAUCUACACAUUUUUUAAAUUUUUUGUGUCUUUCUCAAUUUUUGCUACUUUCCCGUUUGACUUUCAUAUAUUAUUGUAAACUUAUAGGUAAAGGUAAUGUUAGAAGAAAAAUACUACCUUUGAUGAUGAAUUGAAAAUGUCAAUCCAAUAUAUGUUUUUCUACGUAGAAGCAAAUUUAAGGCCAAAAUAUGGGGUACGUGAAUUUAAAGUUUCUCUAAAAAAAAAAGGUAUUUUAUGUGUAUGAUUUUUAGAAUUAGUAUAAUAUUAUAUGCUGACACUCAUGCUAGAAAAAGGCUAAAUGAUUCACUUGAUUGAAUGUUGAGUUAUUCCCUGAGUGCUAGGAUCAAUAUAAUUCCGUCCUAAAACCUUUAGAUAAGUUGAAUUGAGGAAAAAAAAUAUCUAUAUCAAGAGUGGUUCAUUUCAUUAUGACUUAUAAUAAAUUUAGCAUGAAAUAGUAAGAGAUGCUCUCUCUUUGGGUAUGCUAUGUAAUUAAUUA